CAGAAGAGGAAGCCGUUUUUUCCAGUUAGGUCUGCUAUCAACUGCAGAGGAUGAGUAGCCUUGGGAGCCUCUUGGGGAGAUGGAAGUGAUGAAAGGACUGAAUCCAUGAGGGAAAGCUACUUGCUCUGAGAUGGGGGAACCUUCGGGCAAAGGCCAGCAGCGAAGGGAUGCUGUUGGCCGCUAGUUUCUUUUCCUCACCACUUUCCCAAAGGGUGUAACAUCGGAGGUCCUGCGGGAGGAAAGAGCAUCUCGGAGUCAGGGGGCAGCCUGGGCCAAAGCGGCCCUCCACUGCCCCCACCACAGAGUCCCUGGCUUUCCUUUACCAUCUCUGAUGCCAUCCAGACACUUACAUUAAGCAGGAGGAGGAGGAGGUGUGGAGCGUUGGGGGUCUCUGUCAGAGCAGAUGAUGGAAGUGACACUUCAGUUCUUGUGGGAGACACCCAUGUUCAAGCCAGCAGGUCCACGAAGGGGAAGGAGGGAAAGAGAGAAGAGAUUUUGAGUCCUGAGUGCAGUUGUGGAAGUAUGUGAAGAGGAAGAAGAGCCAUGUCAAGAGAAGUCAAGACCAACGGUUACAAAUCUUCCUGUCCACCUGCUUUUCAUCUCCAGGAGUGUCUGAAACGUCCUGUGGACUAUUGCACUGCAGAGGUCGGAGGAGAAGUUUGGAUUAUGGGGCGCUUGUCAAAAUGUCCCAGGCGCCCCAGGAUGUCCUGGAAGAGAGCAGAGGAGGAAAAUCAGGUCCUUCCGGGGGCAUCAGGAAGGCACCUCUGACCUCAAACUCCAGGCUUGGCUUGCCCAUCCCUGACAACUCCCUCCUGGGGUCCCUCACACAACCAGAAUGGACUCUGCAGUGUGAUUCUUGGGCAGCUGGAUGGUCCAAAGACCCCUCAGUGCUGCUGCCUCAAAGACUGUGAUCACCUGGAGCAGGAAAAAUAAAGAGAACUAAGGACAGACCUCCCUGUCCUCUCAUUCUUUCCCUCUAGUUGGCCUGGAAAGUUGUGUGGAGAAUUGAGAUGCCCAUCUCUGAAGUGGAGGACCCCCCAGCAGGCUUUGGAAAUGCCCCUUCAGUUCCUGCGGGAAAAGAGAGAAGAGAGGUUGAGUGCUGGGUUAAAUCUUGCAAGGGUGUGAGAAGAAGAAAGAGCUGAGCAAAGGGAAGUCAAGACAUACUUCUCUGUCCUCCACCUUCUCAGCCCCUUUCAGCACUGCCUCAAACAUCCUGUGCAGGAUAGCCCUGGGCAUAUCGCCGCUGAACUUUGGCCUCAUGAUGCUGCAGAGAUGAAGGGGAGAGGGUUAGAUGCUGCCUCCUCUGAGUCUCCCUUGCCCCCUUCUCCCUCCUGCCUGCUCUUCCCCACCCAGAGCUCCCCCUGGAAUUCUGUCCACCCCCACCCCCACAACCCCGUCCAUCCCAAAGAACCCCCUCACCUCAGCUGGAGGAGGGCCAGGGCCAGGCUCAGGGAUUGAUCCCUGAAGCGCUCCAAGUGCCCCAAGAUGUCCUGCAAGAGAGCAGAGGAGGAAAGCCAGCUCUUUCGGGGGGGGGCGGGGAGGCAGCCAGAGAACUGCACCCUGAGAUGCCCCCUAGCCCUCCGGUCUCCAAACUUGCUCACCUAUCACCACGGGCUCCUCCCGGACUUGCAGCGGGGCCACCCUGUUCCUCUGCUGGCAGCUGAACAGGGCCCUGAACCACCUGAACCUAGAAGAGAGGAGUGGGGGGGAGAGAGUGACCCAGGAGCCCCAAUGGGUGGGGGGUGUUUGUGUCUGUGCGGGGGGCCGAGAGAGGAAGGUGGUGGAGUCUUCCUUGGAACCCUAGAGGCCCCCAUGAAGGGGGAGAAGGCCGAUGGCGUUGGGCAGCUGGAAAGAUGCAAGAUGGAGCCAGGGAGAGGUGCAGUGGUUGGAGGGCUGGACUAGGAGGACCUGGAAGAGCAGAGUUCGAAUCCCCACUGAGCCAUGAAGCUCCCUGGUGGACCUUGGGCCAGCCAGGCCUACUUUGCAGGGCUGCUGGGAAGAUAAAAAUUGGUGGCAGGGAGAACCAUGAAGGCCACUUUGAGCUCCUGGGAGGAAAGUGGGCUAGGAAUGUCCUAAUAAAAGCGGAUGAUGAGAGGGGAGAGAAAAGGGGAAGGCAGAGAAUGAGUUUGGAGGAGCUGAGCUCUCCAGAGAAGACUGGCCGGGUCAAUUUCCAGAGAGCCAAGACUGUGCAAGAGACCCCAGGACUCACCCCCCCCCAGGAGACCAAGACCAAGGGAAAGAAUCCUACUUACUGUUAGGAUAUAGUUCCGUUCCACCUUAAAUGGUCAGACAUGAUUGUUGUGUGUCACAUGCCAGUUUACUCCCAGCACUGUUCUCUCUGGGAACUUCCGUUUUGUAUAUAGUUUUUGUUCUGGCUGUUUUCCUGGACACGGAUGCAAGCAGUCAUGUUUUUCCUUUCUUCUGAUCUACGUUGAAUAAAGCUGUAAAUAUGCUCUCCUAUCUGAAUCUUCCGUUGUGGAGACUGCUGAAAAGGGUGUGCACGAGUCUUGGAAUGUCUCUGAAGCUCGUGUCACUAAUUGACUGAUGCUGUUCAACGAGAGACCGGGAGAUCAUCCGGAGGCGACGUGGAGGCCUGCUUGAUGCCUUCGUCUCCCUGGCAGUAUCCCAACACUUACAGCCUGUCCAUUUUGUCCAGGAAGAAAUCCCACCUUCCUCUCUAAACUAGCUGUCUAAAAUGCCCAUCCAAGCCUAACUUCUGACCCCAACCGCAGCCCUAAGCCUAAGCCUAACCUUAACUACCCCUCUAUGUACAAAAUAAAUAUAUACAAAAUGUGCACAAAAUAAAAUAAAAAAUAUUAAAAUAAAGAACAAUAAGAUAAAAGUGUUAAAACAAAAAACUAAAAUAAUAAAUCAAAUAAAAGUAUUAAAUGAAAUGGGAAGCAAAAUAAGAAACUGGAAAAAGAACAAUAAACCGAACUCCUUCCCCAAUCUCCGCCAACCGCCACCAAC